rnacentral:lncRNA from 1 species
AAGCUGAAGGCAAUCUCGAGCAGUCUGAAGAAUGUUCUGUAGAAAGGAAUGCCAAAGAACCACGGUGCUGUGAAGAAGGGAGCCAGACACUGAAAACUGUGCCCAGAGAGAUCUCAAAGAACAGCUUCUGGUCAUCAAAGGUGAAUGAGCAAAGUUCCUGGCACUCUUGUGACAAACAAAUCCUAACAAGGUAUUUCCAAGCCUGGAGGAGACAUACCCUUUGGAAGAGGGCAGCCACGCAGCUUUACAGACACCAGCUGCUUCAGAAGGGCUUUGGUGCUCUGCAGUGGACUGUGCACCCAAGGAGGACACAACUGGAGGUGGCCCAGCAGAAACAUGCUUCAACUCUGCUAGCUGCCAGCUUCCAGAGGGUGAGCAC